rnacentral:rRNA from 1 species
UACGUAGGGUGCGAGCGUUAAUCGGAAUUACUGGGCGUAAAGCGUGCGCAGGCGGUUAUUUAAGUCAGGUGUAAAAGCCCUGGGCUUAACCUAGGAAUUGCGCUUGAGACUGGAUAGCUUGGAGUGCGGCAGAGGGAGGUGGAAUUCCACGUGUAGCAGUGAAAUGCGUAGAGAUGUGGAGGAACACCGAUGGCGAAGGCAGCCUCCUGGGCCAGCACUGACGCUCAUGCACGAAAGCGUGGGGAGCAAACAGG